CCUACGGGUGGCUGCAGUGGGGAAUAUUGCGCAAUGGGCGAAAGCCUGACGCAGCGACGCCGCGUGAGGGAUGAAGGCCUUCGGAUCGUAAACCUCUUUCAGUAGGGAAGAGUAGAAGACGGUACCUGACGAUUAAGCCACGGCUAACUACGUGCCAGCAGCCGCGGUAAUACGGAGGUGGCAAGCGUUGUCCGGAUUUAAUGGGGGUAAAGGGUGUGUAGUCGGGUUGGCAAGUCAGAUGUGAAAGCCUGGGGCUUAACCGCAGAACUGCAUUUGAAACUGUUGAGCUUGAGUACUGGAGAGGGAGGCGGAAUUCCUAGUGUAGCGGUGAAAUGCGUAGAUAUUAGGAGGAACACCGGUGGCGAAGGCGGUCUACUGGACAGCAACUGACGGUGAGGCGCGAAAGCGUGGGGAGCAAACAGGAUUAGAUACCCUGGUAGUC
rnacentral:rRNA from 1 species